UAGAGAUAGGCUGGCCUCGAUGUGUCAAGCUUCAGCCCCGGAGUUGUGUCCAUCAUCCUACGGGAGGAGGCUGAGAAGAAGAUGAGAGCUGAGGAAAAGUGCUCCACCACAAAGCUUGGCUCUAGCAGACACCUCUUGGCUGGAAGAAGAGUAGAAGAUGGCCUGUGGGGGAAUGGUGACAAAGCCAACAAAAAUCACUUCAGUGCUGAUGAACUGAGAGCUUGAGAGGAGAAGAUAUGGCAGCUGUACAGUUUCUAUUCCACGAAGAGUUUCAGACCAAGUGUUUGGUCAAUAAGAGACCCACAUCAACAUAAUCCUUACCAGCUGGCUUCCCUCCCUGCCUGCCUCCUGCUUCAUUCCUUCCAUUGUUCAGCAAAAGUAUAUUGAGCAACUUCUAUAUGCCAGUUCUAUGCGAGGCCCAAGGAUUCAUUGGUAAACAAAAACCCAUCUGUGAAGUUGAAGUUUGAAGGAAGAGGGUAGUUCCUCAGGUCAGAGGUGAGAGAUGGGGGAAUUGUUGCAUGAGGAAAGCUAGUGCCAAUGCUGUGUGGCAGGAGGGAGGGUGGAUAAUAGCAGGGGGUGGAGGAAGGCUGGAGUGGACACAGGCAGAUGAGGGAUGCUGUGGGAGGGUGUCCAGCAGGUCAUGAUUAAGGACUUCAGUUUUUAUCCCAAGAGCCAGGAGAUGCCAUGGAAGUACUUUACACAGGACUGUGACAUGAUCAGCUUUGCAUUUUGAAAAGAUAAAACCCAAAUGUCUGUAACUGGAGAACGGGUUAGAUCAGUUAGGAUACAUCCAUGUAGGGAAUACCAGGCAUCUGUUCGAAAGAAUGAAUAUAAUAGCAUGAUCUCUAAAAAUAUGGUUUAAAAAUAUGAAAUACAGGGGCGCCUGGGUGGCACAGCGGUUAAGCAUCUGCCUUCGGCUCAGGGCGUGAUCCCGGCGUUAUGGGAUCGAGCCCCACAUCAGGCUCCUCUGCUAUGAGCCUGCUUCUUCCUCUCCCACUCCCCCUGCUUGUGUUCCCUCUCUCGCUGGCUGUCUCUAUCUCUGUCGAAUAAAUAAAUAAAAUCUUUAAAAAAUAUAUAUGAA
rnacentral:lncRNA from 1 species